AAUGGUGUGCACUUUUCUCUUAGUAAGACGUUGUGAUCCAUUAGGAAUAAAUCAUCCCUCUGGUUUGAUGAUUGUUAGGCUACCAAUAGGCUGACAUUGAAGUUCACUGUGACAAAUAAUACAGUCUUUACGGCUGUGUAUAUUGUCUAAUGAGCAUGUCAUGUACACUGGUGUAGCUGCCUGAUGGGUUUUAAAGGUUAUAUCAUUGAUGCUUUUGUCAUCAUCUAUUCGCAAGAAUGGAAUCUUAAAAAAGAUAUAUACCCGAUCAACAACGGUUUCAUUUGGGAUACCUUUGGGACCCGUCUUGAAACACGGACCAAGGAGUCUAUCUAGUAUGCGAGUAAAUGGGAUUCAUAGAAACCUAUUUGCAUAAAUAACUUGACUGUUUUUAAUGGGAUUACGAGUAUAUGUACUUUUACGAGGUAUACUCCUCCAUCCCGGGGUAUUUUCAUCACAUAUAUGGGCAACUAUAUAUAGAAAAUAUACCAUGAGCAUACUGGACAUGACCCGAAAGAUGGUGAACUAUGCCUGAUCAGGUUGAAGUCAGGGGAAACCCUGAUGGAGGACCGAAGCAAUUCUGACGUGCAAAUCGAUUGUCAGAAUUGGGCA
rnacentral:rRNA from 1 species